rnacentral:misc_RNA from 1 species
AAGGAAUGUCUGGUCCCCCUUUCUUCGCCCUCUUACUACGGAUUUUCGUAGUAAGCGCUGAUUGGCUGCUGAUUCCUAUUCAUAAAUGAACUUGGAUGCAGGGUAUUUUAUGAUGGAAAGAAAUAGAGCAAGUAUACGAAUUCGGGCGAAAAUGGUCAACUUCAAACGCUUGUAACUUCCUGAAAAAUGCACUUAGCCAAACGAAAUUGGAACCAAAUUAAAGCUUAAAUCUUCUACUUUCAGAUGCAUUCAAUUAAAAAAAUCUAUCUCUUUUUUCCUCACCAGUGCAACGCUUUGAAGCAGGUGAUGCGCGUACUCAUUUUUUGCGAAAGAAAUUCAACGCAACUCAUUUUUGUUUGGCGAAGCCGGGCCCGUUUUAUCCGCAUAGAACGAAAUUCACAAAUGCCCCAACUGAUAGAUUGAUGCGCACGUCCACG